GCUCUCCCCUCUAUUAGUCAUUCCUGCAUGUUUCUGCCAGUCACAUCCAGAUGAAUCCUUUUUUGUCCUGGAAUAGAUGAGCAGUCACGCAGAUGAGUUCCCUUUGAUUGAACACAGCACUCGGUAGGGAACAAGUCAAUGGUGUGACGCUCUUUUUCAGGAAUGCAGAGCUACAUUUCACCUCUGUUUCCCGUUUUUGGGACUGAAGAGACUCCAACAUGCGAUCAAUAAGCACCUUGGUGGCAGAGCCGAGCUGAAGCCUGAAGAGCUCCAGGUGGACAUUUGCAGACACCUUGCCAAAGAAAAUGCAGAACUGCUGGAGAACUUGUAUAGCACCACCAUCGCGUCCUUCAGUAGCAGCUGGGAAGGGAUCCGGGCAGGUGCCGCCAACUUAGCUGGCAUCAUCCUGGAACACACAGACACUCAGCGUAUGAAAUGGCUGGACCUGGAACAUCUGC